CCUCAUGACCCCAUCGUGCAUUCGGAUCUUCACCGUGCCGACUCCCAAAACUUUGCACACCGUCCCGUUCCCCAUUAGAGCUUUUCCACGCUUGAUCGCUUUAUAAAUGACAAAAGACUUUUUUUCCGGACAAACAUGAAAGUAACAUGCUGAAUCGAGCACCCACGCGUCAUCAAAAUUUUUGCACCUCCGGUCGCCGCAUACAGGACAUCAGAAUCCAUCAUCUUCGAUUUCGCUGCCUGCGCCAUCGCUGUUAUAGCCUCGUCUUGGUUCACAACAGUUUUCUCCUUCUGUCACUUUAACUCCUUCAUAUCAUUCUGAAGUUUCCGACAGUUGCGCUUGAUAUGUCCUUUUCUGUGACAGUAAAAGCAUUCUACCUCAAAUAACGGUUUCUUCUGUCGAUUUUCGGUCGCCGAUGUUGUCACCUCCUUCUUCGCUCUCACCACCAAAGCAGUAUCUCGGCUUUGCGUGCCGGCCUC
rnacentral:lncRNA from 1 species